GCUUAACACAUGCAAGUCGAACGAUGAAGCCCAGCUUGCUGGGUGGAUUAGUGGCGAACGGGUGAGUAACACGUGGGUGAUCUGCCCUGCACUCUGGGAUAAGCCUGGGAAACUGGGUCUAAUACCGGAUAUGACCUCUUGCUGCAUGGUGAGGGGUGGAAAGUUUUUCGGUGCAGGAUGAGCCCGCGGCCUAUCAGCUUGUUGGUGGGGUAAUGGCCUACCAAGGCGACGACGGGUAGCCGGCCUGAGAGGGCGACCGGCCACACUGGGACUGAGACACGGCCCAGACUCCUACGGGAGGCAGCAGUGGGGAAUAUUGCACAAUGGGCGMAAGCCUGAUGCAGCGACGCCGCGUGAGGGAUGACGGCCUUCGGGUUGUAAACCUCUUUCAGCAGGGACGAAGCGAAAGUGACGGUACCUGCAGAAGAAGCACCGGCCAACUACGUGCCAGCAGCCGCGGUAAUACGUAGGGUGCGAGCGUUGUCCGGAAUUACUGGGCGUAAAGAGCUCGUAGGCGGUUUGUCGCGUCGUCUGUGAAAUCCCGCAGCUCAACUGCGGGCUUGCAGGCGAUACGGGCAGACUCGAGUACUGCAGGGGAGACUGGAAUUC
rnacentral:rRNA from 1 species